AUUGAACGCUGGCGGCAGGCCUAACACAUGCAAGUCGAGCGAGCGGCGGACGGGUGAGAAAUGGCUGGGAAACUGCCGGAUGGCUGGGGAUAACAACUGGAAACGGUAGCUAAUACCGCAUACCAUGGUUUGUGCAAAGCUGGGAUUAGCUAGUAGGUGGGGUAACGGCUCAACCAGGCGACGAUCCCUAGCUGGUGUGAGAGGAUGACCAGCCACACUGGAACUGAGACACGGUCCUGACACCAACCGAAGGCAGUAGUGGGGAAUAUUGAACAAUGGGCGCAAGCUUGAUGCAGCCAUGCCGCGUGUGUGAAGAAGGCCUUGGGGUUGUAAAGCACUUUCAGCGGGGAGGCGUUACCCUCAGAAGAAGCACCGGCUAACUCCGUGCCAGCAGCCGCGGUAAUAC
rnacentral:rRNA from 1 species